rnacentral:rRNA from 1 species
AACGAACGCUGGCGGCAUGCCUAACACAUGCAAGUCGAACGAGAACUUCGGGUCUAGUGGCGCAGGGGUGCGUAACGAGUGGGAACCUGCACUUGGGUUAGGAAUAACUCCCCGAAAGGGGUGCUAAUGCAGGAUAAUGUCUUCGGACCAAAGAUUUAUCGCCUUUGGAUGGGCCCGCGUUGGAUUAGCUAGUUGGUAGGGUAAAAGCCUACCAAGGGGACGAUCCAUAGCUGGUCUGAGAGGAUGAUCAGCCACACUGGGAAUGAGACACGGCCCAGACUCCUACGCAAGGCAGCAGUGGGUAAUAUUGUACAAUGGGCGAAAGCCUGAUCCAGCAAUGCCGCGUAAGUGAUGAAUGCCUUAGUGUUGUAAAGCUCUUUUACCCGGGAUGAUAAUGACAGUACCGGGAGAAUAAGCUCCGGCUAACUCCGUG